GAUGAACGCUGGCGGCGUGCCUAAUACAUGCAAGUCGAGCGAACGGACGAGAAGCUUGCUUCUCUGAUGUUAGCGGCGGACGUGUGAGUAACACGUGGAUAACCUACCUAUAAGACUGGGAUAACUUCGGGAAACCGUAGCUAAUACCGGAUAAUAUUUUGAACCGCAUGGUUCAAAAGUGAAAGACGUUCUUGCUGUCACUUAUAGAUGGUUCCGCGCUGCAUUAGCUAGUUGGUAAGGUAACGGCUUACCAAGGCAACGAUGCAUAGCCGACGUGAGAGGGGGAGCGGCGAAAGUGGAAGUGAGAAACGGACAAGAGGACUAAGGGAGGAAGCAGAAGGGAAUAGGAGGCAAUGGGGGAAAGCCUGACGGAGCAAGGCCGAGGGAGAGAUGAAGGUCUUCGGAGCGUAAAACUCUGUUAUGAGGGAAGAACAUAUGUGUAAGUAAAUGUGCACAUAUUGACGGUAACUAAUAAGAAAGCAACGGCUAACUACGUG
rnacentral:rRNA from 1 species